ACUGAGAGCAUCAGCCACAGCCACACCCUCCCCUACAGAAGUCCUGACAGCACAGCCUCUCACCAUGGACUGGAGCUGGAGAGUCCUCUUCCUGAUGGCUAUGGCUACAGGUGUCCACUCCCAGGUACAGCUGGUGCAGUCUGGGGCUGAAGUGAGGAAGCCUGGGUCCUCAGUGAAGGUCUCCUGCAAGGCUUCUGGAUACACCUUCACCAGCUAUGGCAUGAACUGGGUACGACAGGCCCCAGCAGGUGCUCUGCAAUAUAUGGGCUGGAUAAACACAUACACUGGGAAACCCACAUAUGCUCAGGGAUUCUCAGAACGCUUUGUAUUCUCCAUGGACACCUCUGUCAGCACUGCCUAUCUUCAGAUCAAUGGCCUGAAGUCUGAAGACACAGCUGUGUAUUACUGUGCAAGAGACACAGUGUGA